AACGAACGCUGGCGGCAUGCCUAACACAUGCAAGUCGAACGAUGCUUUCGGGCAUAGUGGCGCACGGGUGCGUAACGCGUGGGAAUCUGCCCUUUGGUUCGGAAUAACAGUUGGAAACGACUGCUAAUACCGGAUGAUGACGUAAGUCCAAAGAUUUAUCGCCAGAGGAUGAGCCCGCGUGAGAUUAGGUAGUUGGUGGGUAAAGGCCUACCAAGCCGACGAUCUCUAGCUGGUCUGAGAGGAUGAUCAGCCACACUGGGACUGAGACACGGCCCAGACUCCUACGGGAGGCAGCAGUGGGGAAUAUUGGACAAUGGGCGAAAGCCUGAUCCAGCAAUGCCGCGUGAGUGAUGAAGGCCUUAGGGUUGUAAAGCUCUUUUACCCGGGAUGAUAAUGACAGUACCGGGAGAAUAAGCCCCGGCUAACUCCGUGCCAGCCGCCGCGGUAA
rnacentral:rRNA from 1 species